CCUACGGGAGGCAGCAGUCGGGAAUUUUGGGCAAUGGGCGCAAGCCUGACCCAGCAACGCCGCGUGAAGGAUGAAAUCCCUCGGGAUGUAAACUUCGCAAGAACGGGAAGAAUAAGUAAGAGUUAAUAUCUCUUACGAUGACGGUACUGUUUGUAAGCUCCGGCUAACUCCGUGCCAGCAGCCGCGGUAAU
rnacentral:rRNA from 1 species